rnacentral:misc_RNA from 1 species
CACCAUUAUCAAGAACACCCGUUCCCUCACUUAAACUAUCUUCCAAAUCCCAACCAGAAGCAAGCCAGCCUCCUUGCUUCAAAAUAUCCUCUACAAGAUCCAUCCUUCCUGCAUCAAUUAACUCUUUCUUGCUUGGAAACGCCUCCGGUUUAUCUGAAUUCUUCAUGAACUCUAAAAUCUCCGCCUCCAAUGCAAAAUCACCCUCACUUUCCC